rnacentral:lncRNA from 1 species
AAUAGGAUUGAUGACGUGAUUUUAUGAUAACAUUUGAAUAUAUCAGGAAGUUAGGCAGUUAAGAUAUAUAUAUUUCUUAAAACGAACUCCGAACAACAAAUUGCAUGAAUAUAUGUUUGAAAAACUGACUCAUAAACCACACUGCUCCUCCUCCCCAACUCCCCCAAGUCAAAAAAAAAAAACUGACUCCCAAAAAUAGUACACAAUUGAAUUUUGAAAUUUGCCGCUAAAAUAUAGUCAUUGGAGUUGUUUUGUUGUACUUCAUCCGUCCAC